CCUACGGGAGGCAGCAGUGGGGGAUAUUGGACAAUGGGGGGAACCCUGAUCCAGCGACGCCGCGUGAGGGAAGAAGUAUUUCGGUAUGUAAAGCUCUGUCAGCAGGGAAGAAAGAAAUGACGGUACCUGACCAAGAAGCCCCGGCUAACUACGUGCCAGCGCCCGCGGUAAUACGUAGGGCGCAAGCGUUAACCGGAAUGACUGGGAGUAAAGGGAGCGUAGACGGUUAGGUAAGUCAGGAGUGAAAGGCCGCGGCCCAACCCCGGGACUGCACUUGAAACUAUUUAACUUGAGUGCAGGAGAGGUAAGCGGAAUUCCUAGUGUAGCGGUGAAAUGCGUAGAUAUUAGGAGGAACACCAGUGGCGAAGGCGGCUUACUGGACUGUAACUGACGUUGAGGCGCGAAAGCGUGGGGAGCAAACAGGAUUAGAUACCCUAGUAGUC
rnacentral:rRNA from 1 species